AAGUCAUGAUGACUGCCCACACCACCUUUAUAUAAACCACUUCCCAGUUUCUGAGCUGCAUUCUUAUCUUGAAGGGAGUGGAAAUAUUCUUUGCAGACCUCAUCCAGAACAGGUGUUGGAAUGUGAAAAUUCUUCACCGGACAGAAAUCUUUCCACAAAUCCUCACUUUGAUGCUUCUCUGCUGAUUGAUUUCUCCUUUGUUCACAUGCAGGAGGCUGCUGCUUCUUCAAGGAUGAAUUAAUUUUUCUGCUUACAUCUUUAUUCAUA
rnacentral:misc_RNA from 1 species